rnacentral:rRNA from 1 species
AGAGUUUGAUCAUGGCUCAGAAUGAACGCUGGCGGCGUGCUUAACACAUGCAAGUCGUGCGCGAAAGGGGCUUCGGCCCUGAGUAGAGCGGCGAACGGGUGAGUAACACGUGGGUAAUCUGCCUGGGAGUGGGGGAUAACCUGGGGAAACUCGGGCUAAUACCGCAUUCGUUCGCGGGGUCUCGGCCUCGCGAGGAAAGCUGACCUCUGCUUGCAAGUUGGCGCUCCUAGAGGAGCCCGCGGCUGAUUAGCUAGUUGGUGAGGUAACGGCUCACCAAGGCGACGAUCAUUAGCCGGCCUGAGAGGGUGACCGGCCACACUGGAACUGAGACACGGUCCAGACUCCUACGGGAGGCAGCAGUGGGGAAUAUUGGACAAUGGGCGGAAGCCUGAUCCAGCAACGCCGCGUGGAGGAUGAAGGCCUUCGGGUUGUAAACUCCUGUUAGGGGGAACGAAAGGCCGCGGGUUAACAGCCGGCGGCCCUGACGGUACCUCCAGAGGAAGCCCCGGCUAACUCUGUGCCAGCAGCCGCGGUAAUACAGAGGGGGCGAGCGUUAUUCGGAAUUAUUGGGCGUAAAGGGCGCGUAGGCGGCUUGGUAAGUCAAAGGUGAAAUCCCUCGGCUCAACUGAGGAACUGCCUUUGAAACUGCUCAGCUUGAGGCCGGGAGAGGGUAGUGGAAUUCCCAGUGUAGCGGUGAAAUGCGUAGAUACUGGGAGGAACACCAGUGGCGAAGGCGGCUACCUGGACCGGUUCUGACGCUGAUGCGCGAAAGCGUGGGGAGCAAACAGGAUUAGAUACCCUGGUAGUCCACGCUGUAAACGAUGGGUACUCGGUGUCGCGGGUAUCGACCCCCUGCGGUGCCUUAGCUAACGCGUUAAGUACCCCCGCCCUGGGGGAGUACGGUCGCAAGCUGAACUCAAAAGUAUUGACGGGGGCCCCGCACAAGCGGUGAAGCAUGUGUUGAUUCGAUGCAUCGCGAGAUCUACCUGGCUCGAACGGUGGCGGACAGCUUCUUAG